AAAGGGGUAUUUCCCUUUUCCAAAGAUAAUCAGGUCUCCAAAGAAAAAGAUUAUACUAAAGCUAACCAAAGGGGGGGAGGGGUUUAUUCCCAAAUCAUUUCGUAC